CUGCUGCUAAGGUUUCCCCUGAAGAGGCAAGAAAAAAGUGACCUUACAUUUUCUGUCUGUCUGAUUGUGGCAGCCAAGAUUGAAUAGGGAAAUACAGAG
ensembl:snoRNA